ACGAACGCUGGCGGCGUGCUUAACCCAUGCAAGUCGAACGGUGAAGCGCCUUCCUUUUUGGUGGGUGUGGAUGAGUGGCGAACGGGUGAGUAACACGUGAGUAACCUGCCCCCUUCUUCUGGAUAACCGCAUGAAAGUGUGGCUAAUACGGGAUAUUCUGGGUCUGUCGCAUGAUGGGUCUGGGAAAGAUAUUGUUUCGGUGGGGGAUGGGCUCGCGGACUAUCAGCUUGUUGGUGGGGUGAUGGCCUACCAAGGCGGUGACGGGUAGCCGGCCUGAGAGGGUGGACGGUCACACUGGGACUGAGACACGGCCCAGACUCCUACGGGAGGCAGCAGUGGGGAAUAGUGCACAAUGGGCGCAAGCCUGAUGCAGCGACGCCGCGGGAGGGAUGGAGGCCUUCGGGUUGUGAACCUCUUUCGCCAGUGAAGCAGGCCUGCCUCGUUUGUGGGUGGGUUGACGGUAGCUGGAUAAGAAGCGCCGGCUAACUACGUG
rnacentral:rRNA from 1 species